CUUGACGAGUUGCUUCACGACGAACGUGAGCAUAUGCUUCCGCGACUGUCGGAAAUGUUUCAUUUGCAAAACGUCCCCCCGAAUCUUGUCCAAUCUAUCAUCGAGCCAUCCAAGAAAAUAUAAACACGUUUUUCUUGAAUAAUCGUGUUAAAUUUAUGGAUGUCCACUUCGCACUCCAUAGGGUUUUGACGUCGAAGAUCGAUCUCUCACCAUAGGCCCUAGAGAUCGUUUUAAUAGUUUUCAAGUGACCCCCCUCCU
rnacentral:lncRNA from 1 species